rnacentral:pre_miRNA from 1 species
AUUGCCCAGGAAUCUUGUUAAAAUGCAGAUUUUUGAUUCAGUAGGUCUGGAAUGGGGCCAAGAUUCUGCACUUCUAACAAGCUCCCAGGUGAUUAGAA